GAGGGUAUAUCUCAGUGGUAGAGUGUAUGCUUAGCAUGCAUGAGGGCCUGGAUUCAAUCCCCAGCACCUCCA
rnacentral:tRNA from 1 species